rnacentral:misc_RNA from 1 species
GAUGAAGAACGCAGCGAAAUGCGAUAAGUAAUGUGAAUUGCAGAAUUCAGUGAAUCAUCGAAUCUUUGAACGCACAUUGCGCCCGCUAGUAUUCUGGCGGGCAUGCCUGUCCGAGCGUCAUUUCAACCCUCAAGCCCCCGGGCUUGGUGUUGGGGAUCGGCGAGCCUCCGCGCCCGCCGUCCCCUAAAUCUAGUGGCGGUCUCGCUGUAGCUUCCUCUGCGUAGUAGCACACCUCGCACUGGGAAACAGCGCGGCCACGCCGUUAAACCCCCAACUUCUGAACGUUUGACCUCGGAUCAGGUAGGAAUACCCGCUGAACUUAAGCAUAUCACUAAGCGGAGGA